GAGUUCCAGCAAAAGAAGCCAGCAGAAACACAAGUUUCGCAUUAAAACUAAAACAGUAUCCCCAGGUUCGUGGUCGUGUAAGGAAAGGCCGGAGGAGAUCGCGGGAAUGGACGACGAGUAUUUUGAUCUGGUGCGAUCUGCGGACAAUGGACAACGAGAGACAUAGAAAUAAAACUGAUAAUAAUAAGGGUACAUCAAGCUGCGAUCAAUCGGAUAAUGGACUCCGUUCCGGCCUGGUCCCCACCUUAUUAGAUGUUGGGGAGGGCCUGUUCAGCCAAAUGGCAAAUGGAGACCAUAAAUAAGGCCCGCAACUAAUUGCUGACACAGUUAGCCAGACAAGACAAAGACACGGGGAUCUAUUGGCGUGGGCGCUGCUGACAGUCAGAGAUCAGAACGUGGCCAAGAAAGCUGUGCGGACCAACACCUGCAAAUGGAACCGGGGAGCACGUGCUGGCUGUGCUCCCAAAAAUCCAAUUUCCAGCAGCAAUCAGUGAUAGAUCCCGUUUCAAAUGCUGACGAGAUGGAAUCGGAGCUGAAGUUCAGGUUAGGCUGUUUUCCCCAGCCGCGGACACAGUUGGCACGGGCCAUAAAUAUUCCAGACAGAAAAAAUCAGCUGAAUCACCAUCUUCAACGCCAUCAUGAUCCACAAUUACAAUGUCUGCUCAAGAAGAAGCUAUAACUCCCAUUCCCGCCGCCCUCGGAAAUCAACGCCCACUUUGAGCACCUUCAAAUCGUGGGCACGAGCCCAAGUAGCCAAGAUAUUUUGUUUCUAGCCAUGUUUUUAAUUAAAAACGCUGCGCACAAAAAAUGUCUGCAGACC